AAUUUCUAUACACCGUUUAAUUGAACUUUUUUAACGAGGGAGAUGAGAUAUGAAGGAAAUCACCAAAACGCGUAGAAUAUAUGUUAAUUAUCUUUGUGGUUUGAGCUUUGAAUUAACAUUGAUUGUCAGCUGUUUUGUACGGAAAACGUGAAAUUGAAAUAUGUUUCCCCGCUAUUGGCAAUACAUUUUUGUUAUGUCAUCUGCAACAGACGAUCAUACAUAUGUGAUACAUAUCGAUACAGGUAAGCAGGUAUUAUAUUUUCACUUAAUCUAUAUAUGUAUGAUGAACAUAAAACUAAAGUACUGUAGUACAAUCUCUUGAAUUGAUCUUAACUUCCCCAUUGUAAAAAUUUUGUAAAAGACUUGCAUUGAAAAUCUAACAUUAAACUUAUGUAUUUUAUUUAAGAUAGACAUAGCUAGGGAGCAAUAGCAGUGGAAGCCCGGAUUGGCAAGCCAAACGAGGGAACGACAGAAUUCUGAAAAAAAUGAUUACCACACGUACAGGUGCAUCAAUAUGGACAUCUGAAUAAAUAUUUGUGGGGGAUUUCAUCCAGCAGUUUGCCUUAAAAGAAUUAUUUCAUAUUUUAUUUCCAUAUUUAUGUGAAUUCCAAUAAAAUCUUACAAACUUC
rnacentral:sRNA from 1 species